rnacentral:lncRNA from 1 species
UUUUUUUUGGUCCCUGAUCUCCUAUGCAUUAAUCAUUGGAUCAUGAAUUAUUUACUCUCAAAAAAAACAGAAGAAAAUAAUGUAUUGCUUUUUCAAAAAUGUCACUCAAGCCAGACCCAAAUGGGAUUUUUUUUUUCUAUAAAAAGCUGGGUAAAGGUAGGAGGAUGGAAAUUUGCUUUCUUUCAUUAAAAUCAGUAACAUUUCUCCAGUGUAGAUGGAAUGUGAAAUAAAAACAUAUAUAAAAUUUCUAUCAGAUAUAUAUUUUCUUAAAAAUCUGGGAACAUAUGGUGUGGCUAUUAAUAUGGCCUAUAAUAACACAAGUUGCUCUGCCUUGAGGGCCAUACUAAGCAAUGAAAGAAAAAAUAGAAGCUAAAAAAAGAAACCCUGACUUGAGGCUUUCAGGAAAAAAGAAAUAAAAUUAUUUCACUUACACCAUAAAAAGGAAUACUUUCAAUAUGUAUUAAAUUUCUGUACAUUUCUAGUGUUGUUUUUGUUUUGCCACGCUUGCCUCUAAUUGCAUCUCUGUUCCUUUUCAAUGUAAUAAGCACUUGAUGUUUGUUAUGAUGAGCAGGAAAAACAGGGUUAUAUCAAUAGUGGGAUGGAAGAGAGGACUUGGUGAAUUUAAAAUCUUGGCUCGGUAAUUUCCUGGAUCUUGUGUGAUAGCUUAAUAAUAGAAAUGCCAAUGUAAACUUUAAAAAUAUAACUUACUUUCAAGUCAACGGCAAGAAUCAACUGUUGCAGCGUUUGAACAGAAGUGAAAAGACAAUGCAAUGGAAAAGAAAUGAAAUUCAAAUUUUUUUCAAAGAAAAGAUGUGCACCAUCCCCAGAACUGAGUCCUGAAAGAAAAAGUAGGAUUAGCCUCAAACAAAUGGAAGAUAGAGAAGGAAGGUACUUCUGGGCAAAAGCGGUACAGAAGUAAUAUUAUAUAAAUUGACAUGACUAAUGAGACAUUGGGGAGCCCUAAAGAUGAAGAAAUGAAAAGUAAUCUGGGGAAGUAUAGUGUAAGAUGAAGACCAGAGGGGAAUCCUGAAAUGCCUUAUGUACUAAGCUAAAAUGUUUAAGCAUUAUCCUGAACACAUGCAUGCAUACCCAUUAAAAAAGUAAGUUAGCCAGUGUGUGAUUAGAUAGAAGUGAUCUUCUGUUUUGGAAGGCAAUUUGAUAAAUUAACAAAACCUUUUAAAAUGUAUACAUUAUUUGUAAAAUCAAAGUUUUCUGAGAAAAUGUGAACUAAAUAAUCACAAGCCUUUUUCUCAUUCUCCCUUAGAAGAGGAGUACAUACAAUGUCUCCCAUAAAAGGAAACAGUCUUCUUGACUGAAAUAUUUUUGUUUAUUCAGAUGCUAACAAUCAAAGGAAAAUCUUUUUUCCAACUAGUCAGGCUGAAACAAAAGUCCCAAAGUUUGUCUUUUUAUGUUUUUUGUUAUUCUAUAUAAAGAAGUAAAACACUUUGUCAAGCUGUUUUUCCUACUAUCU